UACGGAGGGUGCAAGUGUUAUUCGGAAUCACUGGGCGUAAAGAGCACGUAGGCGGAUAGGCAAGUCAGAUGUGAAAUCCCGGAGCUCAACUCCGGAACUGCAUUUGAUACUGCCUGUCUUGAGUGAGGUAGAGGGGAGUGGAAUUCCCGGUGUAGAGGUGAAAUUCGUAGAUAUCGGGAGGAACACCAGAGGCGAAGGCGACUCCCUGGGCCUCUACUGACGCUGAGGUGCGAAAGCGUGGGGAGCAAACAGGAUUAGAUACCCCGGUA
rnacentral:rRNA from 1 species